GGCCACGUGGCGCAACUGAAUAGCGCACUUGAUUACGGCUCAAGAGGUUAUAGGUUUGAAUCCUAUCGUGGUCACAA
rnacentral:tRNA from 1 species